UUUAGUGAUGAUAUAUGUCAAUCUGACAUAAUAAUAGUGACUAGCUGCGGCGAUGUUGUCUACUAGUUAACCAUCUUUCGGGACUGAAU
rnacentral:snoRNA from 1 species